AUUGAACGCUGGCGGCAGGCCUAACACAUGCAAGUCGAGCGAGCGGCGGAUGGGUGAGUAAUGUAUGGGGACUGCACGAUAGAGGGGGAUAAGUACUGGAAACGGUGGCUAAUACCGCAUACUACAGGAUAACCCUUAUGGUAUUAGCUAGGAGGUGGGGUAAAGGCUCAACUAGGCGACGAUCUCUAGCUGGUCUGAGAGGAUGAUCGGCCACACGGGGACGGAGACACGGCCCAGAGUCCUACGGAGGCAGCAGUGGGGAAUAUUGCACAAUGGGCGCAAGCCUAAUACAUCCAUGCCGCGUGGAUGAAGAAGGCCUUAGGGUUGUAAAGUACUUUCAGCGGGGAGGCGUUACCCGCAGAAGAAGCACCGGCUAACUCCGUGCCAGCAGCCGCGGUAAUAC
rnacentral:rRNA from 1 species